AUACGGAGGGUGCAAGCGUUAUUCGGAAUCACUGGGCGUAAAGGACGCGUAGGCGGGUUGGCAAGUCAGAUGUGAAAUCCUACAGCUUAACUGUAGAACUGCAUUUGAAACUGCUAACCUUGAGUAUGGGAGGGGGAGAUGGAAUUAGUGGUGUAGGGGUAAAAUCCGUAGAUAUCACUAGGAAUACCGAAAGCGAAGGCGAUCUCCUGGAACAUAACUGACGCUAAGGCGUGAAAGCGUGGGGAGCAAACAGGAUUAGAAACCCUAGUAGUCC
rnacentral:rRNA from 1 species